ACGAACGCUGGCGGCGUGCCUAACACAUGCAAGUCGAACGAGAAAGUCCUUCGGGAUGAGUAGAGUGGCGCACGGGUGAGUAAGCCAUGGGAACAUGCCUUUAACCGGGGGAUAACUGCGGGAAACUGCAGCUAAUACCGCGUGAGAACUACGGUUCAUAGUAGGCCUCUAUUUAUAAGCUUACGGUUAAAGAUUGGCCCAUGUCCCAUUAGCUAGUUGGCGGGGUAAAAGCCCACCAAGGCAACGAUGGGUAGCUGGUCUGAGAGGAUGAUCAGCCACACUGGAACUGAGACACGGUCCAGACUCCUACGGGAGGCAGCAGUGGGGAAUUUUGCACAAUGGGGGAAACCCUGAUGCAGCAACGCCGCGUGAGUGAAGAAGGCCUUUGGGUUGUAAAGCUCUUUCGGCUGGGGAGAAGGGUGGUAUGGCUAAUAUCCAUAUCAUUUGACGGUACCAGAAGAAGAAGCACCUGCUAACUUCGU
rnacentral:rRNA from 1 species